GGGGGAUUAGCUCAGCUGGGAGAGCGCCUGGUUUGCAACCAGGAGGUCACCGGUUCGAGCCCGGUAUUCUCCA
rnacentral:tRNA from 1 species